GGCUUCACAGUGGUGCAGGAGGGUGGACCCAGUCCCAACAGUCAGUAUGGAAAUAAAGGACUAUUUUAAAGAACACUGCUAGUGGGGGAGAGGAACAGAAGAAGAAAGAGAGAGAGAGAAUCUCAAGCAGGCUCUGUGCUCAACAUGACCCUAAUGCAGGGCUCGAUCCCACAACCCUGGGAUUAUGCUCUGAGCCAAAAUCAAGAGCCAGAUGCUCGACUGAGCCACCCAGGCACCCCAGUAUAUGCCACUUUAGAAUGUUGCCUAAUUUUGUCCCAAAAUGUCACCUUUCAUUUUCAUUCACUGCCUUCUCAUUUUAAAUCCAUAUAAAGUUUUAAAGAAAAAUA